ensembl:snoRNA
UCCCAGUGAUGAUACCAAGGCGAAUGUGAGCUUGCUGGGUAGGAAUCUGAGUUUUUCUGCAUUGCCAUUGGCUGGUAAUCUUGACAGAGCAGUGAAGAUUGGCUGUUUUGUUGUAAGGGCCCGCCUAUAUCUAAAAAGCCCUGCCCAUAGAACUGUCCUGUAAAGAAAAGUAGGAGAGAGAGUGGGUGGUGCUGACAGUUUGUGUGUAUGUGUGUUAGUGUGUGCAUGCAAAUAAAUUCAGUUCUCUGCUGUAUCCAGUAGGCUGUGAACGCAAUCUUUGGUAAUCUGAGGGUA